AUUGAACGCUGGCGGCAGGCCUAACACAUGCAAGUCGAACGGUAACAGGAAGAAGCUUGCUUCUUUGCUGCCGAGUGGCGGACGGGUGAGUCAUGUCUGGGAAACUGCCUGAUGGAGGGGGAUAACUACUGGAAACGGUAGCUAAUACCGCAUAGCGUCGCAAGACCAAAGAGGGGGACCUUCGGGCCUCUUGCCAUCGGAUUUGCCCAGAUGGGAUUAGUUAUUAGGUGGGGUAACGGCUCACCUAGGCGACGAUCCCUACCUGGUCUGAGAGGAUGACCAGCAACACUGGACCUGAGACACGACCCAGACUCCUACGGGAGGCAGCGGUGGGGAAUCUUGCACAAGGGGCGCAAGCCUGAUGCAGACAGGCCGCGUGUAUGAAGAAGGCCUUCGGGUUGUAAAGUACUUUCAGCGGGGAGGAAGGGAGUAAAGUUAAUACCUUUGCUCAUGGAAGUGACCCGCAGAAGAAGCACCGGCUAACUCGGG
rnacentral:rRNA from 1 species